rnacentral:sRNA from 1 species
AUCUGCUGCGGGCUAAUGAAAUGGAUAUGGGUAUCAAUGCCGCCUGCGGUGACAAGCAUACCUUCGCCUGCAAGUGCUUCGGUAGAUGCACCCACCGUCAUGCCCGGCGUGACGCCAUCCAUGGUAUCCGGGUUGCCAGCCUUGCCAAUUCCUGCGAUUUUACCGUCCUUGAUGCCAAUAUCCGCCUUUACAAUGCCGGUGGAAUCGACAAUCAGUGCAUUGGUGAUGACCAGAUCCAGAUCACCAUCCAUGCUGCGGGUCUUGACAGACUGCCCCAUGCCAUCACGC